rnacentral:rRNA from 1 species
GACGAACGCUGGCGGCGUGCUUAACACAUGCAAGUCGAACGGAAAGGCCCUGCUUUUGUGGGGUGCUCGAGUGGCGAACGGGUGAGUAACACGUGAGUAAUCUGCCCUUGACUUUGGGAUAACUUCAGGAAACUGGGGCUAAUACCGGAUAGGAGCUCCUGCUGCAUGGUGGGGGUUGGAAAGUUUCGGCGGUUGGGGAUGGACUCGCGGCCUAUCAGCUUGUUGGUGGGGUAGUGGCUUACCAAGGCUUUGACGGGUAGCCGGCCUGAGAGGGUGACCGGCCACAUUGGGACUGAGAUACGGCCCAGACUCCUACGGGAGGCAGCAGUGGGGAAUAUUGCACAAUGGGCGGAAGCCUGAUGCAGCAACGCCGCGUGCGGGAUGACGGCCUUCGGGUUGUAAACCGCUUUCGCCUGUGACGAAGCGUGAGUGACGGUAAUGGGUAAAGAAGCACCGGCUAACUACGUG